rnacentral:rRNA from 1 species
CACGCCGUAAACGAUGAGUACUAGGUGUAGGAGGUAUCGACCCCUUCUGUGCCGCAGUAAACACAAUAAGUACUCCGCCUGGGAAGUACGAUCGCAAGAUUAAAACUCAAAGGAAUUGACGGGGGCCCGCACAAGCAGCGGAGCAUGUGGUUUAAUUCGAUGCAACGCGAAGAACCUUACCAAGGCUUGACAUCUAAAGAAUCUAAUAGAGAUAUUGGAGUGCCCCGAAAGGGGAGCUUUAAGACAGGUGG